AUGAAUAUAUUCCGCCUUUUCUGUUUUCUUUCAAUCAAUUCCUUUUUCUCCUUUUAGGUUUGACAAGCUGAUAUCCCCACCUAACGGGCAAAAGCUCCCUGAUCAACGUAUUGAGGACCUACCCGGAUUAGAGCUCUGAUCCUAGCGCCUACGGUUCCUCUAAAACGGAACUCACUAAAUUUAAGUUGGGACAGAUAACCCUUCUUGUCUCCCCCAGGUCGUCCGUUUUGGUCCGGAGUCCGGCAUUUACCCUUGCAACCCGGGGAGGUUGCAAGCAUCAGGAGCUCCCACGUUGAUUGGAGUGGCGAUGGUGACUGGGCGUGGCUGAUGACCGACGAUAGGUGUAUUGUAAUUAUUCCUUAUUUUGCUUAUACUUCAUAUAUUUUCCAGACUCUCUAUUUAGGCUAUAAAUCCAAUUCAGUUUGUAGGUUAAGCCUUUUUUUUAUUUGUAGGUUAAGCUCUAUUUAGUUUGUAAGUUAAACUCUAUUUAGUUUGUAAGUUAAACUCUAUUUAGUUUGUAAGUUACACUCUAUUUAGUUUGUAAGUAACACUCUAUUUAGUUUGUAAGUUAAACUCUAUUUAGUUUGCAAGUUACGCUCUGUUUAGUUGGUAAGUUUUAAUCUCAUAUAGUUUUUAGGUUGUAACUUCCUGAUGCACGUAGUUUUUAGGAUUAAUUCGCAUGUAGUUUUUCAAGAUUAAUUGACACGUAGCUUUUAAGAUUAUUCGGCAUGUAGAUUUUAGCCUUGUGUUUUUCUUUCUUAUUUGUAGUUGAUUAAUUCAUUUAGGUUGUAGCCAAAAAUGCAAAUUUUCUUGAACACAAAUUCACGGCAAAUAAAAAACUCUUUCGCUA